CUAGCAACACUGAUGGUGCAGAAGAGACCAGAGGCCAUCACUUCCCAGUGGUAUCUACUCGCAUGAUUUUAUUUUGUCCGACGGUGCUUGGCUAGUCAGAGGCAGGACAGGCCCUGAAAUGAAAAACUGCUGCCCUGGAUUAAUGACUGUUUGCCUGUGACAGUGCAAGAGAAGAAUAGCAAGCAGAGACAUGGACACGAGAUAGAUCCCGAACAGGUCUUCACGAAGAAAUCAAAUUGAAGAUACAACUUCAGCAACUCUAAUAAUUCUAUAAAUACGUGAAGGAAUUCAAUAAAACAAGCCACUGAAAAGGACUUCCUUACAAACGAACACUGAAUAUCGAAUAAUUGAUUUCUUCUCUUAAGGCAGAAUAUGAAAACUACAACCAAGAAAUCCUACCCAACUCCUAAAUUACCAAUUAAAAUCAAGUACAACAGUAUUUCAAUAAUUCCAGAAGCCUGGGGAAGAAAAAGAAAUAGUCCUGAAGGGCAAAUCACAGAAACUAUGAGUGAUCUUAGUGUGAUCUUAGUGUGUUGGGGUCACUACAAAAUGCACACAGAAAGAAGAGAUUCCUCCAAGCAAGUAAAAUGUGAUACAGAAGGAAACUGAGAACUUAUCUAAGGAAACAAAU
rnacentral:lncRNA from 1 species